UAAUUUAAAUAUCAUUUAUCAUGUUGCAGAUGCUUAGCAAAUGCUUUCGCUGCUACCUGUUCUUAAUCAGCUGCUACUUUUUCUUAAUCAUCCGAUUUCUUACUCCUUUCAUUUAUGUAGGAAUGGCAUGUAGGUAGUUAUCCCCCAUGGGCACAUAGACCAGGAUACAUUGUAUCUCAGGAUAUAGGAAACACAAAAGAGGUGAGCUAAGAUGUUCAAGCUGGAGAAUGUUCUCCAAUGGGAUGAAGAAUGAAGGCUUUGAUGUCAAGUGCGAGAACGAU